rnacentral:rRNA from 1 species
AAUGAACGCUGGUGGCAGACCUAACACAUGCAAGUCGAACGGUCUAUAUUAAACUUCGGUUUUUAUAGAUAGUGGCAAACGGGUGAGUAAAGCAUGGGAAUCUACCUAGAAGUUUGGAAUAGCUAUUAGAAAUGAUAGAUAAUACAAUACACUCGAGAGGAAGUGACUUCGGUCUUCGUCUUUAGAUGACGCCCAUAGUUAAAUUAGUUAGUUGGUAGGUAAUGGCCUACCAAGAUGAUGAUUUAUAGCUGGUCUUAGAGGAUGAUCAGCCACACUGGAAUUGAGAUACGGUCCAGACUCCUACGGGA